AUGAUACAUCUCGCGAAUGGAGGAGCAACAUUGGAGAUUGGCUCUAUGGACCUUCACAUUGAGGAGCGCUCGCACUUAGUGGAUGCACCACCAGACCAACACUUCUACCACGACAUCGAGCUAUGGUACAACACCACCCAUGACAAAUUUGCAUCUUAUGCAUGGAUUGACUCACAUUAUGAUUGCCUUGUUGCAUCUUCCAUUACUAUGUCAUCCAUGAUAUGUGAGCUUGUGCAUUUUCUUAGCAAAUUUGUUGUGAUCUUUCUUGAUGGCAUAUUCAUACAUCAUGAUCAUAUUACGUACCAUCAAUUGCAUGAUAACAUAAUCAUAUUGAGCAUCCAUUGCCAUAUUCAUGAUAUUGAUCAACCGUCUCACUAUGACAUCAUUUUGCACCGUGGUUGCAUUGAUCAUAUUCACAACACAUUUGUGUGCACAAUGAAUGCUUUUGCUCCCAUGAAUGCUUUACAUCUCAUUCCAUAUCAUCUUGCUAAGCUUCAUGUGCUUUGUCAUGAACAACCUUGCCUCGUGGACUCAUUCUUACAUGAUGGACACCUUGUGUGCGCUAACCAUUGUAUUUCCAAGUGUCGUUUGUGUUUGCUCUUUUUGCAUGUGUACCACUCCGGAAACACCUUGGAGUACUUGGAUUGCACCAUGACUUCCACUCCGUCCAAUUACAAGUCCGUCCACGACAACCGUUUCCAUGGUGGUGAGGAUUUCGAUCCGAGGUCGGAUCUUUCCGAAGGGAGGGGAGAUGAUUCGGAGCAUCCGACGAUCAUCCCCAUGUACACUCGAGCCUACGCCAUUGGACCUAAGGUGAACUCGCUCCUUUCCGAAUCUUCCCUUUCCGCAUGCAAGACAUGGAUGCUACUACAAGCGCGGACCUUGUUCAUACUCAGGUACACCCGAGGAGACCAUGGAGAACCCAAGGACCAAGGCCCAACGUGCGCGGAAGCAAAGGAAGGAGAAGGAAGAAGAGAUAGCUGCUACAGGCCCCGGACAUCCGGCCCGACCCCCGGCAAUCCGGCGCCCAUCACAGAAGACACCCGAAGCUGA
rnacentral:rRNA from 1 species